CCUACGGGUGGCAGCAGUCGAGAAUCAUUCACAAUGGGGGAAACCCUGAUGGUGCGACGCCGCGUGGGGGAAUGAAGGUCUUCGGAUUGUAAACCCCUGUCAUGUGGGAGCAAAUUAAAAAGAUAGUACCACAAGAGGAAGAGACGGCUAACUCUGUGCCAUCAGCCGCGGUACUACAGAGGUCUCAAGCGUUGUUCGGAAUCACUGGGCGUAAAGCGUGCGUAGGCUGUUUCGUAAGUCGUGUGUGAAAGGCGCGGGCUCACGCCGCGGACGGCACAUGAUACUGCGAGACUAGAGUAAUGGAGGGGGAACAGGAAUUCUCGGUGUAGCAGUGAAAUGCGUAGAUAUCGAGAGGAACACUCGUGGCGAAGGCGGGUUCCUGGACAUUAACUGACGCUGAGGCACGAAGGCCAGGGGAGCGAAAGGGAUUAGAUACCCUGGUAGUC
rnacentral:rRNA from 1 species